rnacentral:rRNA from 1 species
GUGUCAGCAGCCGCGGUAAUACGGAGGGAGCUAGCGUUGUUCGGAAUUACUGGGCGUAAAGCGCGCGUAGGCGGCUUUGCAAGUUAGAGGUGAAAGCCCGGAGCUCAACUUCGGAAUUGCCUUUAAAACUGCAUCGCUUGAAUCCGGGAGAGGUGAGUGGAAUUCCGAGUGUAGAGGUGAAAUUCGUAGAUAUUCGGAAGAACACCAGUGGCGAAGGCGGCUCACUGGACCGGCAUUGACGCUGAGGUGCGAAAGCGUGGGGAGCAAACAGGAUUAGAAACCCGUGUAGUCC